rnacentral:rRNA from 1 species
GACGAACGCUGGCGGCGUGCCUAACACAUGCAAGUCAACUUGACUGAAGGAGCAAUCUGACAGUAGAGUGGCGCAAGGGUGCGUAACGCGUAAGUAACUUGCCCAAGGUAAGGAAUAACGUCGAGAAAUCGGCGCUAAUACCUCAUAAUGCAGCGGAUCCGCAUGGAUAUGUUGUUAAAGGUUUACCGCCUUGGGAUAGGCUUGCGUCUGAUUAGCUAGUUGGUGUGGUAACGGCACACCAAGGCUACGAUCAGUAACUGGUCUGAGAGGAUGAUCAGUCACACUGGAACUGAGAUGCGGUCCAGACUCCUACGGGAGGCAGCAGUGAGGAAUAUUGGGCAAUGCUCGAAAGAGUGACCCAGCAACGCCGCGUGGAGGAUGAAGGUAUUCUAUAUCGUAAACUCCUGUGAGAGCAGACGAAGACAGAUUAUAAUCUGGAUGACUGUAUGCUCAGAGGAAG